UCAGGCCUAACACAUGCAAGUCGAGCGGGGUUUUCGGACCUAGCGGCGGACGGGUGAGUAAUGCGUAGGAAGCUACCCGACAGAGGGGGAUACCAGUUGGAAACGACUGUUAAUACCGCAUAAUGUCUACGGACCAAAGUGUGGGACCUUCGGGCCACAUGCUGUCGGAUGCGCCUACGUGGGAUUAGCUAGUUGGUGAGGUAAUGGCUCACCAAGGCGACGAUCCCUAGCUGGUUUGAGAGGAUGAUCAGCCACACUGGAACUGAGACACGGUCCAGACUCCUACGGGAGGCAGCAGUGGGGAAUAUUGGACAAUGGGCGCAAGCCUGAUCCAGAAGUGCCGCGUGUGUGAAGAAGGCCUUCGGGUUUAAAGAAAGGUCAGCGAGGAGGAAGGGUUGGUGUUAAUA
rnacentral:rRNA from 1 species